rnacentral:rRNA from 1 species
AGAGUCUGACGGAGCACGCCGCGUGAGUGAUGAAGGCUUUCGGGUCGUAAAACUCUGUUGUUAGGGAAGAACAAGUGCUAGUUGAAUAAGCUGGCACCUUGACGGUACCUAACCAGAAAGCCACGGCUAACUACGUGCCAGCAGCCGCGGUAAUACGUAGGUGGCAAGCGUUAUCCGGAAUUAUUGGGCGUAAAGCGCGCGCAGGUGGUUUCUUAAGUCUGAUGUGAAAGCCCACGGCUCAACCGUGGAGGGUCAUUGGAAACUGGGAGACUUGAGUGCAGAAGAGGAAAGUGGAAUUCCAUGUGUAGCGGUGAAAUGCGUAGAGAUAUGGAGGAACACCAGUGGCGAAGGCGACUUUCUGGUCUGUAACUGACACUGAGGCGCGAAAGCGUGGGGAGCAAACAGGAUUUCCUUC